UUAAGUGAAUAAGGGCGCACGGUGGAUGCCUUGGCACUAGGAGCCGAUGAAGGACGGGACUAACACCGAUAUGCUUUGGGGAGCUGUAAGUAAGCUAUGAUCCAGAGAUUUCCGAAUGGGGGAACCCAAUAUCUUUUAUAGGAUAUUACUUUUCAGUGAAUACAUAGCUGAUUAGAGGUAGACGCAGAGAACUGAAACAUCUUAGUACCUGCAGGAAGAGAAAGAAAAUUCGAUUCCCUGAGUAGCGGCGAGCGAAACGGGAAGAGCCCAAACCAACAAGCUUGCUUGUUGGGGUUGUAGGACUCCAAUAUGGUAGUCUGUUAGUAUAGUUGAAGGAUUUGGAAAAUUCCGCUAAAGAGGGUGAAAGCCCCGUAGACGAAAUGCUGACAACACCUAGGAGGAUCCUGAGUACGGCGGAACACGAGAAAUUCCGUCGGAAUCCGCGGGGACCAUCCCGCAAGGCUAAAUACUCCCUAGUGACCGAUAGUGAACCAGUACCGUGAGGGAAAGGUGAAAAGCACCCCGGAAGGGGAGUGAAAUAGAUCCUGAAACCGUGUGCCUACAACAAGUCAAAGCUCGUUAAUGAGUGAUGGCGUGCCUUUUGUAGAAUGAACCGGCGAGUUACGAUUGCAUGCGAGGUUAAGUCGAAGAGACGGAGCCGCAGCGAAAGCGAGUCUGAAUAGGGCGAAUGAGUAUGUAGUCGUAGACCCGAAACCAUGUGAUCUACCCAUGUCCAGGUUGAAGGUGCGGUAAAACGCACUGGAGGACCGAACCCACGUACGUUGAAAAGUGCGGGGAUGAGGUGUGGGUAGCGGAGAAAUUCCAAACGAACUUGGAGAUAGCUGGUUCUCUCCGAAAUAGCUUUAGGGCUAGCCUCGGAAUUGAGAAUGAUGGAGGUAGAGCACUGUUUGGACUAGGGGCCCAUCUCGGGUUACCGAAUUCAGAUAAACUCCGAAUGCCAUUCAUUUAUAUCCGGGAGUCAGACUGCGAGUGAUAAGAUCCGUAGUCGAAAGGGAAACAGCCCAGACCACCAGCUAAGGUCCCAAAAUAUAUGUUAAGUGGAAAAGGAUGUGGGGUUGCACAGACAACUAGGAUGUUGGCUUAGAAGCAGCCACCAUUUAAAGAGUGCGUAAUAGCUCACUAGUCGAGUGACCCUGCGCCGAAAAUGUACCGGGGCUAAACAUAUUACCGAAGCUGUGGACUACACCAUUAGGUGUAGUGGUAGGAGAGCGUUCUAAGGGCGUUGAAGGUCGAUCGUGAGGACGGCUGGAGCGCUUAGAAGUGAGAAUGCCGGUAUGAGUAGCGAAAGACAGGUGAGAAUCCUGUCCACCGUAUGACUAAGGUUUCCUGGGGAAGGCUCGUCCGCCCAGGGUUAGUCGGGACCUAAGCCGAGGCCGAUAGGCGUAGGCGAUGGACAACAGGUUGAUAUUCCUGUACCAGUUGUUUUUGUUUGAGCAAUGGAGGGACGCAGUAGGCUAAGGAAUGCAUGCGAUUGGAAGUGCAUGUCCAAGCAAUGAGUCUUGAGUAGAGUUAAAUGCUUUACUCUUUAAGGACAAGUUGUGACGGGGAGCGAAAUAAUAGUAGCGAAGUUCCUGAUGUCACACUGCCAAGAAAAGCUUCUAGUGAGAAAACAACUGCCCGUACCGUAAACCGACACAGGUAGUCGAGGAGAGUAUCCUAAGGUGAGCGAGCGAACUCUCGUUAAGGAACUCGGCAAAAUGACCCCGUAACUUCGGGAGAAGGGGUGCUGACUUCGGUCAGCCGCAGUGAAUAGGCCCAAGCGACUGUUUAUCAAAAACACAGGUCUCUGCAAAAUCGUAAGAUGAAGUAUAGGGGCUGACGCCUGCCCGGUGCUGGAAGGUUAAGAGGAUGGGUUAGCUUCGGCGAAGCUCAGAAUUGAAGCCCCAGUAAACGGCGGCCGUAACUAUAACGGUCCUAAGGUAGCGAAAUUCCUUGUCGGGUAAGUUCCGACCCGCACGAAAGGCGUAACGAUUUGGGCACUGUCUCAACGAGAGACUCGGUGAAAUUUUAGUACCUGUGAAGAUGCAGGUUACCCGCGACAGGACGGAAAGACCCCAUGGAGCUUUACUGUAGUUUGAUAUUGAGUGUUUGUACCACAUGUACAGGAUAGGUAGGAGCCGAUGAGACCGGAACGCUAGUUUCGGAGGAGGCGCUGGUGGGAUACUACCCUUGUGUUAUGAACCCUCUAACCCGCACCACUAAUCGUGGUGGGAGACAGUGUCAGAUGGGCAGUUUGACUGGGGCGGUCGCCUCCUAAAAGGUAACGGAGGCGCCCAAAGGUUCCCUCAGAAUGGUUGGAAAUCAUUCGAAGAGUGUAAAGGCAGAAGGGAGCUUGACUGCGAGACCUACAAGUCGAGCAGGGACGAAAGUCGGGCUUAGUGAUCCGGUGGUUCCGCAUGGAAGGGCCAUCGCUCAACGGAUAAAAGCUACCCUGGGGAUAACAGGCUUAUCUCCCCCAAGAGUCCACAUCGACGGGGAGGUUUGGCACCUCGAUGUCGGCUCA
rnacentral:rRNA from 1 species